rnacentral:rRNA from 1 species
AGCGAACGUUAGCGGCGGGCCUAACACAUGCAAGUCGAACGAGAAUGUAGACUUCGGUCUACUAGUAAAGUGGCGGACGGGUGCGUAACACGUGGGUAAUCUACCUUCCGGCGGGGGACAACAGUCCGAAAGGAUUGCUAAUACCGCGUACGUCAGCGGCGCCUACGGGCGCUGUUGGGAAAGAUGGCCUCUCCUUGGAAGCUAUCACCGGAAGAUGAGCCCGCGUCCCAUCAGCUAGUUGGUGAGGUAAUGGCUCACCAAGGCUAAGACGGGUAGCUGGUCUGAGAGGAUGAUCAGCCACACUGGGACUGCGACACGGCCCAGACUCCUACGGGAGGCAGCAGUGGGGAAUAUUGGGCAGUGGGCGAAAGCCUGACCCAGCCACGCCGCGUGAGUGAUGAAGGCCUUCGGGUCGUAAAGCUCUGUGGGGAGGGACGAACAAGCCUGGGGCUAAUCACCCGGGACCUGACGGUACCUCCUUAGCAAGCACCGGCUAACCCUGUGCCAGCCGCCGCCGUAA